rnacentral:rRNA from 1 species
UACGUAGGGGGCGAGCGUUGUCCGGAGUUACUGGGCGUAAAGCGCACGCAGGCGGUCUGCUAAGUUUGGAGUGACAGUUGGUGGCUUAACUGCCAAAGUGCUUCGAAAACUGACAGACUUGGAGGGCUUCAGAGGGACACGGAAUUCCGGGUGGAGUGGUGAAAUGCGUAGAGAUCCGGAGGAACACCAAAGGCGAAGGCAGUGUCCUGGGGAGUACCUGACGCUCAGGUGCGAAAGCCAGGGGAGCGAACGGG